AGUGAACGCUGGCGAUAGGCCUAACACAUGCAAGUCGAACGGCAGCACAGUAAGAGCUUGCUCUUACGGGUGGCGAGUGGCGGACGGGUGAGGAAUACAUCGGAAUCUACUUUUUCGUGGGGGAUAACGUAGGGAAACUUACGCUAAUACCGCAUACGACCUACGGGUAAAAGCAGGGGAUCUUCGGACCUUGCGCGAUUGAAUGAGCCGAUGUCGGAUUAGCUAGUUGGCGGGGUAAAGGCCCACCAAGGCGACGAUCCGUAGCUGGUCUGAGAGGAUGAUCAGCCACACUGGAACUGAGACACGGUCCAGACUCCUACGGGAGGCAGCAGUGGGGAAUAUUGGACAAUGGGCGCAAGCCUGAUCCAGCCAUACCGCGUGGGUGAAGAAGGCCUUCGGGUUGUAAAGCCCUUUUGUUGGGAAAGAAAAGCAGCAGGUUAAUACCCCGCUGUUCUGACGGUACCCAAAGAAUAAGCACCGGCUAACUUCGUG
rnacentral:rRNA from 1 species